rnacentral:rRNA from 1 species
UACGUAGGGGGCAAGCGUUGUCCGGAAUCAUUGGGCGUAAAGCGCGUGUAGGCGGCUGAGUAAGUCUGCUCUGAAAGCCCGGGGCUCAACCCCGGGAGGCGGGUGGAUACUGCUCAGCUCGAGUCCGGAAGAGGAGUGUGGAAUUCCUGGUGUAGCGGUGAAAUGCGCAGAUAUCAGGAGGAACACCAAUGGCGAAGGCGAGUCCCUGGACAACUCCUGACACUGAGGCACGAAAGCUAGGGGAGCAAACAGG